ACGAUGUUCCGCUGCUAAUGAACAAUUGGUAUGAGCAUCUG
rfam:Anoxybacillus amylolyticus strain DSM 15939, complete genome.